rnacentral:rRNA from 1 species
GAUGAAUGCUGGCGGCGUGCCCAACACAUGCAAGUCGAGCGGCAGCGAGGGGUGCUUGCACCCUGUCGGCGAGCGGCGAACGGCUGAGUAACGCGUAGGAAUUUGCCCCAAAGUGAGGAAUAACUGCCCGAAAGGGUAGCUAAUGCCGCAUAUGGUCUUCGGAUUAAAGGAUUUAUCCGCUUUGGGAGAAGCCUGCGUUGGAUUAGGUUGUUGGUAGGGUAAUGGCCUACCAAGCCGACGAUCCAUAGCUGGUCUGAGAGGAUGAUCAGCCAGACUGGAACUGAGACACGGUCCAGACUCCUACGGGAGGCAGCAGUGAGGAAUCUUCAACAAUGGGCGAAAGCCUGAUGGAGCAACGCCGCGUGAAGGAUGAAGGCCCUCGGGUUGUAAACUUCUUUUAUGAGUGAAGAAUAUGACGGUAACUCGUGAAUAAGCACCGGCUAACUACGUG